rnacentral:rRNA from 1 species
GACGAACGCUGGCGGCGUGCCUAAUACAUGCAAGUCGAGCGCAGGAAACUGACGGAACUCUUCGGAGGGAAGGCAGUGGAAUGAGCGGCGGACGGGUGAGUAACACGUAAGGAACCUGCCUCAAGGAUUGGGAUAACUCCGAGAAAUCGGAGCUAAUACCGGAUAGUUCAACGGACCGCAUGGUCCGCUGAUGAAAGGCGCUUCGGCGUCACCUUGAGAUGGCCUUGCGGUGCAUUAGCUAGUUGGUGGGGUAACGGCCCACCAAGGCGACGAGGCAUAGCCGACCUGAGAGGGUGAUCGGCCACACUGGGACUGAGACACGGCCCAGACUCCUACGGGAGGCAGCAGUAGGGAAUCUUCCACAAUGGACGAAAGUCUGAUGGAGCAACGCCGCGUGAGUGAUGAAGGUUUUCGGAUCGUAAAACUCUGUUGUAAGGGAAGAACACGUACGAGAGGGAAUGCUCGUACCUUGACGGUACCUUACGAGAAAGCCACGGCUAACUACGUGCCAGCCGCCGCAGUAAAAC